ensembl:lncRNA
GCUUACUAAUAAAAUUUUGGGUGAGGAAUGAAAACAGAGAACGUUGUUCUUCCAAGGUAGUCUUUAUUUGGUAACUAGCUGGCCAUCAGUCUGCUGGUGGCAGGUGUACCAAGUAGAAGAAAUAAUUCAAUUUCAAAUGUAAUGAAAACAAAAAGAAAACUGGACCAUGAAAAAAUAAAAGAGACAAGAUACUUGUGGUUACUUAUAAAGAAAGGAGUUGAGUGAGGUUCAACUUGUUAAAAGUGCCAGGACCUUUUUAGAAGAGAACAAACUGAACAUAGUUAUAUCAACAGACUGAGACUGGGAGCCAAGGCUAGAGGGAAUGACAAAUGGAAACAUAGAAGAGAAUGAGUAGCAUCGAAAUGGAUUCUUGAGAAAGAAUACAGACGUUGACAAUAUUGCAUAACUCCCUUCUGAACCUGAAGUUACGCACUUUAGGAACCACAGAAGUCACGGAAAACUAAUACUAUACCCUUAAAAAAGGGUUAGGACCUCAGAUAUAUUUUAUAAAAAAAUUGUUGAGAUUAUUACUAUUAAUUUGACUUUGUGCAGAAGUCUUUUUUCUCUAUAAUAUCUCUACUGAUAAUGAUUAUUGAAUUAGAAAACUGUAAUAUGUAAUCAAUAAUGAUAUUAAGUAAUUAUUAAUUUAUUACUUAUCUGCAAAUAUUCAAUCAUUUUCAUAUAUGUAUUUUUUGUCUAUGAGGUUCUUUUUCCCUUGUCCAUAAGAAAGAUUUUGAGCAGAUCACAUAGACUGAAAAUACUGCUACAAAAGUGUUGCACCAGUAGGUGUACUUGUGUGUGAAGAACACUUGCAAAAUGGGGUAAUAAUUUUUAGCUCAUUAUCUCUUUAUUGUUAGUUUGUUCUUAUUUUUUGUUCUUGUUGUUUUUCCCGUGACUUGCAUUGAAAAGUACACAGACUCAUUCACAGAUGGACUCUUUGGGAGUUAAAUGUUGUUGUGUUUUUAUUUGUUUAUUUGUAUUCCUGUGGUGGAAAAUGUUGAUAAGAUCAUAAUAGAGAGGUUUUACAUGCAUGUGUAAAUCACUAAUUUUUUCUACCACUCACCUUUUAAAGCUAGAUAUACCCAAAAUCAAUCUAGAUACUUCUCUAGAUCAUUCUGGAAACUAAGUGAGAGAUGAAAAGAUUUGUGAACUCCCCUUCAGAUGUAGUUAGUCCUUCCACUGUGUAUCUAAAGGCCAAGCUAAUUGCAUUACUAAUUAGAAAACUGAAGAAAUCUGCAGACACAUUCAGUAUUCAUGUCUAUUUCAGGAUGUUUCAGGAGCUGACAAUUAAAGCUACUAAAAUUAGAAAGAAAUUUGGCAGAAAGCAAUAAAUAAUUUCUAAAAUUUAUGAGAAUUUCAAAGAAGUUGUGCACUCGGAUGCAUUCCAAGAGGAAGAACUAAAAUUUUGUUUUCAAUUUCUUUAUGUAAUAGAUUGGCUGAUUGAAACAGUUGUGUAUCAGAAAUAUGCUACUCCACAGUCAGUGCAACAGCUAGCACAGGAAUCAUCCUUCAUUUUUACUGGAUGCAAUUUUAAAAUGUCUAGGUCAUCUCCAACAACUACAGGAGAUUUAUUGGGUUCAUAACUUUUUUUACUUUUGACAAAUUAUGGCUUUCCUUGCUUUUCACCGUUUCAAUUGGCAAAAAUGAAUAUUCCCAAAUUGGAGAGAAAAUGAGUUCUUUUCUUUACCCACCCCUCUUCUCCUCAGGUGACAGUAGCAAACCACUUACACUGUGUUUAAUGAACCUCUUCAUAUUCUAGCCUUUGUAAACAAACCACAGCUUUUCAUGCUGGGAGGGGAUAAACCAACAAAUUUACUUGGUAAAAUAAAGUGUAAGGUCUGCGAUGCAGGAUACAUGAGUUAAGGAAUUGUAUCUUUUCAAUGACUUUAGGAAGGUUUCCAUGAGGCCUAAUAAAGGAUGAGGUUAACUACAAGGGAACAAUUUCUGUCCUGAUAUAAAUUAGAGCAAUAACAAUGAUUCCAGUGGAGCUGCAGUCAGAACUAAAAUUUUACCUGCAUAUGGCAGGAUAACACAAAAGAAAAAAUUUUAUCUAAGCUAAAACCUACACAUAAUAGAAUUUAAAUUACUCAGAAAACAGAAGUUCAGGGCACAGAUAAUUCCCAAUGUAGUUUGGUUGCGA